rnacentral:rRNA from 1 species
GACGAACGCUGGCGGCGUGCUUAACACAUGCAAGUCGAACGGAAAGGCCCUGCUUUUGUGGGGUGCUCGAGUGGCGAACGGGUGAGUAACACGUGAGUAACCUGCCCUUGACUUUGGGAUAACUUCAGGAAACUGGGGCUAAUACCGGAUAGGAGCUCCUGCUGCAUGGUGGGGGUUGGAAAGUUUCGGCGGUUGGGGAUGGACUCGCGGCUUAUCAGCUUGUUGGUGGGGUAGUGGCUUACCAAGGCUUUGACGGGUAGCCGGCAUGAGAGGGUGACCGGGCACAUGGGGACUGAGAUACGGACCAGACGGCAACGGGAGGCAGCAGGGGGGAAUAUUGCACAAUGGGGGGAAGCCUGAUGCAGCAACGCCGCGUGCGGGAUGACGGCCUUCGGGUUGUAAACCGAUUUCGCCUGAGACGAAGCGUGAGUGACGGUAAUGGGUAAAGAAGCACCGGCUAACUACGUG